rnacentral:rRNA from 2 species
CGGGGGUGAGUAACACGUGGGCAACCUGCCUGUAAGACUGGGAUAACUCCGGGAAACCGGAGCUAAUACCGGAUAACAUUUUUUCUUGCAUAAGAGAAAAUUGAAAGAUGGUUUCGGCUAUCACUUACAGAUGGGCCCGCGGUGCAUUAGCUAGUUGGUGAGGUAACGGCUCACCAAGGCAACGAUGCAUAGCCGACCUGAGAGGGUGAUCGGCCACACUGGGACUGAGACACGGCCCAGACUCCUACGGGAGGCAGCAGUAGGGAAUCUUCCGCAAUGGACGAAAGUCUGACGGAGCAACGCCGCGUGAGUGAUGAAGGCUUUCGGGUCGUAAAACUCUGUUGUUAGGGAAGAACAAGUACAAGAGUAACUGCUUGUACCUUGACGGUACCUAACCAGAAAGCCACGGCUAACUACGUGCCAGCAGCCGCGGUAAUACGUAGGUGGCAAGCGUUAUCCGGAAUUAUUGGGCGUAAAGCGCGCGCAGGCGGUUUCUUAAGUCUGAUGUGAAAGCCCACGGCUCAACCGUGGAGGG